AAGUUAUUAAUGGCCGCGGUACUUUGACCGUGCUAAGGUAGCGCAAUCAAUUGGCUCUUAAAUGGGGUCAGGAAUGAAUGGAGUUUAACGUGGUUAAGCUGUCUCUUAACUAAUUAAUUGAAGUUACUAUAUAGGUGAAAAAGCCUAUUGUAAGAAAAAGGACGAGAAGACCCUUAGAGUUUUACUUAAUGUGAGAGAUACUAAAGUAUUCAUACUGGUUUUGUUGGGGCAACAUAGGAGCAAUAAUUAUAAUCUCCUAAAUUAUAACACACCGAAAUUUAUAAAUCUGAAUAAACUACCUUAGGGAUAACAGCAUAAUUUAAAAAAUAAGUUUGUGACCUCGAUGUUGGACUAGGAAACUUAAAGGCUAGCCGUC
rnacentral:rRNA from 1 species